AACGAACGCUGGCGGCAGGCCUAACACAUGCAAGUCGAACGCCCUAGCAAUAGGGAGUGGCAGACGGGUGAGUAACACGUGGGAACCUUCCCUAUAGUAUGGAAUAGCCCAGGGAAACUUGGAGUAAUACCGUAUACGCCCGAGAGGGGAAAGAUUUAUCGCUAUAGGAUGGGCCCGCGUAGGAUUAGCUAGUUGGUGAGGUAAUGGCUCACCAAGGCGACGAUCCUUAGCUGGUCUGAGAGGACGACCAGCCACAAUGGGACUGAGACACGGCCCAUACUCCUACGGGAGGCAGCAGUGGGGAAUUUUACGCAAUGGGCGAAAGCCUGACGUAGCGACACCGCGUGAGGGAAGAAGGCCUUCGGGUUGUAAACCUCUGUCAUGGGGGAAGAAGGAAGUGACGGUACCCAAGAGGAAGCCCCUGCUAACUACGUG
rnacentral:rRNA from 1 species